rnacentral:rRNA from 1 species
UACGGGGGGGGCAAGCGUUGUUCGGAAUUACUGGGCGUAAAGGGCUCGUAGGCGGCCAACUAAGUCGGACGUGAAAUCCCUCGGCUUAACCGGGGAACUGCGUCCGAUACUGGAUGGCUUGAGUUCGGGAGAGGGAGGCGGAAUUCCAGGUGUAGCGGUGAAAUGCGUAGAUAUCUGGAGGAACACCGGUGGCGAAGGCGGCAUCCUGGACCGACACUGACGCUGAGGAGCGAAAGCCAGGGGAGCAAACGGG